rnacentral:rRNA from 1 species
AGUGAACGCUGGCGGUAGGCCUAACACAUGCAAGUCGAAUGGCAGCACAGUAAGAGCUUGCUCUUACGGGUGGCGAGUGGCGGACGGGUGAGGAAUACAUCGGAAUCUACUUUUUCGUGGGGGAUAACGUAGGGAAACUUACGCUAAUACCGCAUACGACCUACGGGUGAAAGCAGGGGAUCUUCGGACCUUGCGCGAUUGAAUGAGCCGAUGUCGGAUUAGCUAGUUGGCGGGGUAAAGGCCCACCAAGGCGACGAUCCGUAGCUGGUCUGAGAGGAUGACCAGCCACACUGGAACUGAGAACCGUUCCAGACACCUAGGGGGGGAAGCAGUGGGGAAGAUUGGACAAGGGGCGAAAGCCUGAUCCAGCCAUAUUGGGUGGGUGAAGAAGGCCUUCGGGUUGUAAAGCCUUUUUGUUGGGAAAGAAAAGCAGCAGGUUAAUACCCCGCUGUUCUGACGGUACCAAAAGAAUAAGCACCGGCUAACUUCGUG